AAUACAGUAAUAAUUGGUUCACCAAAAUCACCGAUAAGGAGAACAUAAAAAAGGAACGAUUUUGGUAUAAACCAAAGAUAGUGAAGAAUGAAAAUAUAUACACAUAAAACCUAUCUAGAAAGUUGACAAAUAGUGGAAAUUAUUUUCUACUAGAGCAUUGCAAUAGCAUAUUAUGUAUCAACUGAGAGCAAAUUCUAAGCUCUAUAAUAUCCUGUUCGCAGACAAAACAAUAUUUCCCAUUUCUCUGGGAAAAAAAUCCUCUAGAAAAAUUAAAAGCCGAUAUCAGACUCUUUUUAUGAAAUUAUAUUUCAAUAAAGACUCUUUAUUGAUCCAUCAAAUAAAAUUUACAUAAAGUACAUGUAUAUAUUUUUAAUGGUGAAAGAUGUCUCAAUGGCGGUGAAAUUUUCUUACUGAUAGUGAAAGAUAUCUCAUUAAAAUCAUUUCACAAGUAGUUAGAUAUGUCUUAUCUACUAUGAAAGAUAUCUCAGUGAUGGCGAAGGAUACAUUAGUCAAGGAUAUCUCAGUGAUGGUGAAAGAUAUCUCAGUGAUGGUGAAGGAUAUCUCAGUGAUGGAUAUCUCAGUGGUGAAGGAUAUCUCAGUGAUGUAUCUCAGUGAUGGUGAAGGAUAUCUCAGUGAUAGUGAAGGAUAUUUCAGUGAUGAUGGAUAUCUCAGAUGGUGAAGGAUAUCUCAGUGAUGGUGAAGGAUAUUUCAGUGAUUGUGAAGGAUAUCUCACUUACCAUUGAGAACAUUUCACUGACCAUGAAUCAAAUCUCAAUGACCAUGAAAGAUAUCUCACAAAUGGUUUAGGAAUUUUGAUUGACUGCAUGAAUAUCUAAAUGGUGAAAUAUACCUAUUAAAAGUGAAAGACAUCUUUUAAAAGAUGGUAAAAGAUAUCUCAUUUAUGAAGAAGUAUAUCUCUCUGAUGGUGAAAGAUAGCUCACUGAGAAAGGACAUUUCACUUACAAUGAAAGAUAUCACACUUAGUAUGACUGAUGGUAAAGAUAUCUCAUUACCAAUGAAUAAUAUCCCUGAUGACUGAUAAAUGUUUCAGUGUCCAUGAAACAUGUUGUAUUUACUUUAUUUUAUGCUAGUACAAUGUAGUUAGAAAUAUUUUACUACCGAUAAAGAAUAUCUCAUUAACAAUGAAUAUCUCACUGUUUGUGAUUGAUACAUGUAGCUUACUGACCAUGAAGGAUAUUUUACUGAUGGUACAAAAAUAUCUCACUAACGGUAAAAGAUAUCUCACUGACGAUGAAGAAUAUCCUACUGAUAGAGAAAUAUCUCUUUAAUCUCACUGUAGGAAAAGAAACCUCAGAGACUGAGAUGGAUAUGCCACUGGUGGUGAUAAAUAACUUAUCGAUGAUGAUGAUUUCCUAUUGAUGAUGUUAGAUACUACCGAUCAUAAAGAAUAUAUAGCUCAUCUUGAAAGAUAUCUCACAUAUGAAAUAUAUUUCACUGAAUGCUAAGGAUAUCUCAUUGACGAUGAACAAAAUCUUACUGAUUGUGAAGGAUAUCUUAAAGAUCAUUAGAUAUAUGUAGUGGUAGAUGAAGAAUAUUACACAGAUGGUGAAAAGUUUUUAAUAUUGACUUAAUAAUGGUGAAAAAAUACUGUAAGGAAUCAAAAUGGACGAUGAAAGUCCUGAAGUGGACAAUGAGAGGUUUCAGUAUUUAUCUUAUCAGAGAACUAGAAUUCAACUCAAUGUCAAUUAACACCCACACUGGCCACUAAAGAAUUCUACACUCAAAAGUACUCUUCAUUGUUUAUUCGUUUGAUAUCAUUGAUAAUUAGUACAAUAGACGUGUAUAUCACACUACAGACAGUAUAGAAAUGAUGACCAAGCCAUUCAUACAUACAAGUCACUACUGACUGUAAAAUCAUUCCUCUUGCACUUCGAUUCUGUAACAAUCCACUGAUAUUCUCUCUUUCUCUCUCUCUCUCUGCACAACAUUCUGUCAAUGUAACAAUCUUAAUAACAAUAUUUCAGAUAUAUUAAACAUUUACAUUAAAAAGCUCACAGGACUACGUAUACAUGUAUCAUACACAACUCCACACAGAUAUCAAGGUGUUCAGACCUUGCUCCGCCUGAUAAUUCAACGCUUGAUUCCAAUUCAUCAGGAUUUGUUCACAUUAUUUGACAUCAUAUCAAGUGGAAUGAACCUGC